rnacentral:rRNA from 1 species
AACGAACGUUCGCGGCGCGCCUAACACAUGCAAGUCGAGCGAGAAAGGGCUUCGGCCCCGGUACAGCGGCGCACGGGUGAGUAACACGUAGGCAAUCUGCCCCUGAGUGGGGGAUCACCUUCCGAAAGGAGGGCUAAUACCGCAUGAGACCACGACCCCGCGAGGGGAUGAGGUCAAAGCCGGCCACUUCACGAAAGCGGGCGCUUGGGGAGGAGCCUGCGCCCCAGCAGCUCGUUGGUAGGGUAAUGGCCUACCAAGGCGAAGACGGGUAGCUGGUCUGAGAGGAUGAUCAGCCACACUGGAACUGAGACACGGUCCAGACUCCUACGGGAGGCAGCAGUGGGGAAUCUUGCGCAAUGGGCGAAAGCCUGACGCAGCGACGCCGCGUGAGUGAUGAAGGCCUUCGGGUUGUAAAGCUCUGUGGAGGGAGACGAAUAAGGCAUGGCUAACAUCCAUGUUGAUGACGGUAUCCCUUUAGCAAGCACCGGCUAACUCUGUGCCAGCCGCCGCCGUAAAAC